GGGCGCGUGGCUCAGUGGUUAGAGCAUUCGGCUGAUAACCGAAAGGUCCCCGGUUCGAUCCCGGGCGUGCCCA
rnacentral:tRNA from 1 species